rnacentral:lncRNA from 1 species
AUGAGAAAAUAGGUACCUUGUUUGAAAGAGAGAGAGUACAGUCUUGUCAGUGUGGAAAAGGGUGUGUAGUCAUUCAGCGAAAUGGAAGAAGAAGGAAACCCUAGAAGCUUAAACAACGAAAUGGGUUGCUCUAGAUUUGGUUUAAAGACAGAGACUAACAAGUCUAAAUGCUAUGUCACUACUACAGCCCCUAUUUGACAAUACUAACAAGUCUAAAUGCUAAGGAAAAUAGUACAGCUCUUACUAAACUGUAAAAUUUGGUCCAACCCCCAAGUUGCUAGGUCAGAUUAUGAACUGAUUUGGUAUUAGCAAUCAAAACCAAAUCCUAAACAAGCAACUUUCAAACUUUCUGAUUCAUUUCAAGCAUUUAAAAUGCAUUAAAACCCCACAUUUUAGAGGAAAAACGCAUAUUUCCAUAAAAAAAAUUGAAUUUUUCUACAUAAACAAGCAAAAUUUAGAAGAAAAAACAGAAAAUCAAAUGAUUAAACACCCACAAAGCAAGCAUCCAACCUCCCAAAUCUUGAGAUGACUAAUAAUCAGCAAAAAAAUCAAUCUUUAACAGAAAUCAAAUUCCAAAAACACAUACAGAUCAAUGAACACAGAGAAACACCUAAAAAGACCCAAAAAAUUGAGGAUUGGAAGAUGAAACUCAUGAGAAAAUAGGUACCUUGUUUGAAAGAGAGAGAGUACAGUCUUGUCAGUGUGGAAAAGGGUGUGUAGUCAUUCAGCGAAAUGGAAGAAGAAGGAAACCCUAGAAGCUUAAACAACGAAAUGGGUUGCUCUAGAUUUGGUUUAA